rnacentral:misc_RNA from 1 species
CCGAAGAUAACCGCAGUGCUAAGAAUGGCUGGAUGGACGUUGUACUCUUUGGCGAACACAAAUGGAACAAUUCCUUGCGGUAGUGCAGCCUGAACGAUAGCGACGCGGAGAAGAGUACCACGCAGGCCAACGGCAAUUGAAGCGGCAGCCAUCACUGCAGGACCAGUCAGGAAGCGAACAGCCAUGGCGAACGCAGCAACCGAGUUCCCACAGGCAAUUAUCUUCGGUUGUAAAGCCAUAAAUAGACCUAGGCUGAACAUAGCCAUGCCAAGGCCAGCAUCAGACAGUAUGGAAAUGGACUUCUCUAUUAUUUUAGGCAUAGCCACAUGCCACCGGAAUGAAACUAGAGACCAAACCAGGCCAAUGAGACUGGAGUAUGUGUUUGGAUUCCGAAUCAGUUUGCGCCAAACCAUGAUCAAUAUCAGACGGGUCAUAACGCUCGCCGGAGGCAUCUGUUUGUUGCCUCCAGAAUCUGGUGCUCCGGUGGCUUUUGGCUGGAG